rnacentral:rRNA from 1 species
CAUGCAAGUCGAACGCACAGCGAAAGGUGCUUGCACCUUUUCAAGAUGAGUGGCGAACGGGUGAGUAACACGUUGGACAACCUGCCUCAAGGCUGGGGAUAACAUUUGGAAACAGAUGCUAAUACCGAAUAAAACUUAGUGUCGCAUGACACAAAGUUAAAAGGCGCUUCGGCGUCACCUAGAGAUGGAUCCGCGGUGCAUUAGUUAGUUGGUGGGGUAAAGGCCUACCAAGACAAUGAUGCAUAGCCGAGUUGAGAGACUGAUCGGCCACAUUGGGACUGAGACACGGCCCAAACUCCAACGGGAGGCUGCAGUAGGGAAUCUUCCACAAUGGGCGAAAGCCUGAUGGAGCAACGCCGCGUGUGUGAUGAAGGCUUUCGGGUCGUAAAGCACUGUUGUAUGGGAAGAACAGCUAGAAUAGGAAAUGAUUUUAGUUUGACGGUACCAUACCAGAAAGGGACGGCUAAAUACGUGCCAGCAGCCGCGGUAAUACGUAUGUCCCGAGCGUUAUCCGGAUUUAUUGGGCGUAAAGCGAGCGCAGACGGUUUAUUAAGUCUGAUGUGAAAGCCCGGAGCUCAACUCCGGAAUGGCAUUGGAAACUGGUUAACUUGAGUGCAGUAGAGGUAAGUGGAACUCCAUGUGUAGCGGUGGAAUGCGUAGAUAUAUGGAAGAACACCCAGUGGCGAAGGCGGCUUACUGGACUGCAACUGACGUUGAGGCUCGAAAAGUGUGGGUAGCAAACAGGAUUAGAUACCCUGGUAGUCCACACCGUAAACGAUGAACACUAGGUGUUAGGAGGUUUCCGCCUCUUAGUGCCGAAGCUAACGCAUUAAGUGUUCCGCCUGGGGAGUACGACCGCAAGGUUGAAACUCAAAGGAAUUGACGGGGACCCGCACAAGCGGUGGAGCAUGUGGUUUAAUUCGAAGCAACGCGAAGAACCUUACCAGGUCUUGACAUCCUUUGAAGCUUUUAGAGAUAGAAGUGUUCUCUUCGGAGACAAAGUGACAGGUGGUGCAUGGUCGUCGUCAGCUCGUGUCGUGAGAUGUUGGGUUAAGUCCCGCAACGAGCGCAACCCUUAUUGUUAGUUGCCAGCAUUCAGAUGGGCACUCUAGCGAGACUGCCGGUGACAAACCGGAGGAAGGCGGGGACGACGUCAGAUCAUCAUGCCCCUUAUGACCUGGGCUACACACGUGCUACAAUGGCGUAUACAACGAGUUGCCAACCCGCGAGGGUGAGCUAAUCUCUUAAAGUACGUCUCAGUUCGGAUUGUAGUCUGCAACUCGACUACAUGAAGUCGGAAUCGCUAGUAAUCGCGGAUCAGCACGCCGCGGUGAAUACGUUCCCGGGUCUUGUACACACCGCCCGUCACACCAUGGGAGUUUGUAAUGCCCAAAGCCGGUGGCCUAACCUUUUAGGAAGGAGCCUCUAAGGCAGGACCAGACGACUGGGGUGAAGUCGUAACA